rnacentral:lncRNA from 1 species
UAUUUUGAUUUUCUUUCCCUCCCUUUUUUAAAGCAACCUAGUUCUUUACUUUUAUCUUUAAAUAAAUUGUAAACAAAUUUCUACCUUUUUUAGGCACAGUCUUCACAAAUUCUUUCCUCCUUUCCUCUAAAACGUGGAGGUUCCUGCACUAGAAAUGGAGACAUAUUAAUAAUACUUAAGCCAUCCGAGAACACCAUGAAAUGAGUCAUUCUCAAUGGCUACACUUUUCUGAUACCCUUUAGACUUAGGCAAAAAUCCUAUUUUGCAUAAACAUUUAGGCCGGCUUAACUUGAGUUAACCCUUUUGUGAAUAGACUGUUAAUAUCAUUGCCAGAUUGUAAACUCUAAUUAAUAGUCUCACUCCUUUAGGUUCUAGCCAGUACAAUGACCAGAGAAAAAUCUCAGUAUACAUAGCAUUUGUUGAAUAAACAUGUGAAGUGAAUGAAUGAAUAAAUGCAGUACAAUGAUGCUCUUAGGUUCUAUUGAGGCAUAUGGAGCUCCUUUUCUCUUACACUAACUGGCCCCAAGCUGCUAUGCUUUUAAGUGUUUGAGUCUGCUUUGCAGUGUUUCUUUCUUUGCCCUUCCUUAGGUUCUCUGAUGUCACUUGUUAUCAUUGUGUAUGUACCUAUCUCUAGAAGUCUUUCUCUCUUAACUUGCUACUUCUCAUCAACUAUGACUUUGGGACCAACAUGACUAAGCUGGUUAUGGCAAGUACACAACAACUCUGAGUGAAUUUCUGACUGACUUCGCCACUGUUUAAUGUACCGUUUGUGGAUUUGAGCUCCUUUUUGGUUGCUCAGACAUUGUCCUCACCCACUUACCCACAGUUCAUACUUCUAUUUCAGAUAGUGAGAUAGCCAGUAGCUUAUUUCUACAUGAAUGGAAUGACGUGCUAGUUAUUGGAGCAGAAUUGAAAUAAACUACCUGUACUUUCCAGAUGGCAACACCUUUUAUCUGAGCCCAGGGACUUUCACACUUCCAAAACACGUAUGACUCCACGUAAUUCAUGACAAUUCAGAGGAUAUAGUAUUUUACUCAUAGCAAAGCUAAUAUAUUAUUCAUGGCAAUCCCCAAAAAAGGGCUAUGUGGUAUUAGCACAGAUACAAUCACCUACAGCUCUCACCCUGAACCCCCAUCUCUCUUUCAACAAUUUUUGAUGCCAUUUGCAUCAGCGGUUUUGUUAUAUAACAAACUACUCUGAAGUUAGUGGCUUAAAACAACAAGCAUUUAACAUUUCUCAUGCAUCUACAGGACAUCUGGGUGGUUCUGAGGAUGUGAACUGAACUUACACAUGUAUCUACAGUCAUCUGUGGAUGGCCUGGGCAGUUUUGUUAGUCUUGGGCUCUCUCUCACAUAUCUGGGGUCUUAGGGCUGGGACUAAGUAGGCUGACUCUGCUCUGCCCCAUAGGUUUCCUGAGACCUAGACUCUG